rnacentral:rRNA from 1 species
AACGAACGCUGGCGGCAUGCCUAAUACAUGCAAGUCGAACGAGAUCUUCGGAUCUAGUGGCGCACGGGUGCGUAACGCGUGGGAAUCUGCCCUUGGGUUCGGAAUAACUUCUGGAAACGGAAGCUAAUACCGGAUGAUGACGUAAGUCCAAAGAUUUAUCGCCCAAGGAUGAGCCCGCGUAGGAUUAGGUAGUUGGUGAGGUAAAGGCUCACCAAGCCGACGAUCCUUAGCUGGUCUGAGAGGAUGAUCAGCCACACUGGGACUGAGACACGGCCCAGACUCCUACGGGAGGCAGCAGUAGGGAAGAUUGGACGAUGGGCGAAAGCCUGAUCCAGCAAUGCCGCGGGAGUGAUGAAGGCCUUAGGGUUGUAAAGCUCUUUUACCCGGGAUGAUAAUGACAGUACCGGGAGAAUAAGCUCCGGCUAACUCCGUG